rnacentral:lncRNA from 1 species
UCAGUCUUUUCUUCCUCCGAUGGCUACUCCGUCACUCUUCUUCCUCUUCAGUCUCCUCCUUUUCUCCGCCACCUUAGUCAUCGCCAAUCGGAUCGACGGUGAAGACGACCUACUGAUCCGUCAAGUUGUGCCGGACGCGGAGGAGCACCUGCUCAACGCCGAGAACCACUUUUCCGCCUUCAAGACCAGGUUUGGCAGGACCUACGCUACGAAGGAGGAGCACGACUACCGCUUCCGCAUCUUCAAGAACAACUUGCUCCGAGCGAAGUCGCACCAGAAGCUGGACCCCUCCGCCGUCCACGGCGUCACGAAGUUCUCCGAUCUCACUCCGGCGGAAUUUAGCCGCCAGUUUCUGGGCUUGAAGCCGCUUCGUCUUCCCUCCGAUGCUCAGAAGGCUCCGAUUCUGCCGACCAGCGACCUCCCUAGCGAUUUUGAUUGGCGCGACCAUGGAGCCGUCACCGGCGUAAAGAAUCAAGGUUCUUGCGGAUCGUGUUGGUCGUUUAGCGCCGUGGGGGCGUUGGAAGGUGCUCAUUUUCUUUCGACCGGUGAGCUCGUGAGCCUUAGCGAACAACAACUCGUGGAUUGUGAUCAUGAGGUUUGACUUUUUUAUUUAUGGAGAGUAUUGUCUCCUCUUUUUACUGAUUUGUCCUUCAUACACUUGCGUAGCACUUGAUCUGACCACAGUUAUGAUAUAUUGAAACAUGAUGUACCCAUGAGUGGAAUCUUUUAUGAAAAAUUGAACAUAAGUUCGAUAGAUAGGUAGAUGAUAAAAUUAAGCACCUCUGCUCUGGUUUGGAAUUUGCAAAAAAUAUCGUGCAUUAAUCCUGUGCCUGCAACUAUCUU